CCUACGGGGGGCUGCAGUGGGGAAUAUUGGGCAAUGGGCGCAAGCCUGACCCAGCAACGCCGCGUGAAGGAAGAAGGCUUUCGGGUUGUAAACUUCUUUUCUAAGGGACGAAGAAAGUGACGGUACCUGAGGAAUAAGCCACGGCUAACGACGUGCCAGCAGCAGCGGGAAUACGUAGGUGGCAAGCGUUAUCCGGAUUGACUGGGUGUAAAGGGCGUGUAGGCGGGACGGCAAGUCAGAUGUGAAAACCACGGGCUCAACCUGUGUACUGCAUUUGAAACUGUGGUUCUUGAGUACUGAAGAGGCAGACGGAAGUCCUAGUGUAGAGGUGAAAUGCGUAGAUAUUAGGAGGAACACCAGUGGCGAAGGCGGUCUGCUGGACAGCAACUGACGCUGAGGCGCGAAAGCGUGGGGAGCGAACAGGAUUAGAUACCCGUGUAGUC
rnacentral:rRNA from 1 species